rnacentral:lncRNA from 1 species
UUUUUUUUUUAACAGGAAUAAAACAGUGAAAAUUACAAACUGUAAAAAGGAAGACAAAUCUUGUCUCCAACUUUUCAGAGAAGCAAGAUUUAACACAGCACAUUGAAGAUCAAUACAUAUUUGAAUUUAAGAACAAGAAUUUAAUAUUACAAUAUUAUACACUACUUUACAAAAUUAAAAUUUCUAUAUAAGGAUUACAUUUGUAAUAGUUAACAAAAUUUUGAAAUCACAUUUGGUGGUCCCCUAGAUAAUAGCUGUUAUGCAUCUUUGAUUAGAAGAAAUAAAUCUUUAUUCUAAUUAUUGCAAAACAGUCUAUUAGACUCAAUACAUUAAAUUAAAAACAGUGAAAAUAUAUGCAAACUAAAAUAAAUGGUACUGCUUGAGUGACUAUUAGUAUGUCAGACUUACAGAAAUGUUAUUUUAAAAAUCCUAGAAAUUAGAAAAAUAGAGUACUUUUUAUGGUAGAACUGCCAUGCUCAGAUUUAAAUACCAAGAUUGCCCUUGUCUGUUACAUUAGUAGUUGUAGAUCUGUAGAAAAUUCAAGGAUCUUUCAUAAUUUACAACUAUAAUUAAAAAAAAUAUGGCAUAGUGUAAAUAUUAGUCGCUUUACAUCAAAAAGUAAUACAAGAUGAUAUGGCAGGUAGUGCCCUAUUGGGGGAAAAAAAAAGAAUCAAACUAAAAAACACAUUCAACAUUGCAAAAAAUAAUUGCCUUAUAUCAGUAUCUCCAAAGGCUCAUUCAUUCUCUCAUUAUGUGGAGAACAAAUAUUGUGAAUCCUAACUAAAGUUAUGUUUUUCAUGACCUGUUAUAAAAUUAUUCUGAAUUGCACAUGUUACACCGUAUCUAAAAUAAUAUUUAAAAGUAAAUUUGUGAAAUAUACUAAAAAAGCAUGUGGUAAUAACAAGAGUCAUACCCACUUAGGGAUGUAGUGAGGCACAAGGAAGAUUAUCCCUAAAAGCACAAAUGUUUCCCUCUAGAAGAUUCUUUACUACUAAGAAAGGACCUACAAAUAACUCCAUUUAAAAUCACAUUAAGAGGAACAUUUUAGUUAUUUUAAGAAACAUCAGCAUAUAACGACUGUUUCUUUAAAAGAGGGGAUAAUAUAAUUCGCUACAAUUUGAAAAUUGCUUCUUAAUAGAUGAAGCAGCUUUCAAGAAAACUUCCAGUUCAAUGUGCCACUUACACACUGCAAACCAACCUUAACACUGCUUAAGGGAGAUAUUUUCAUAAAACAUGAUUAUUUUGAUCCAGCUGGCAAGCAGUAGUUGUAUACUGUAGAGGGACUGCUUCUUCCCUAUCCCAAACAACUCAGUUAAAGUCAGCUCAUAUUGAUAUAAACCUGGAAGUUACUAUUCCAUUGGUGAUCAUAUAAGACCAAGAUUGUAAACAUUUUCUAACCCAUUAAAACAAAACAAAAAACCCAAAAAUAUUUUGAUCAAGUAUUAUACAUGAACAUAUUUAAGAAAUUCUUAAGACAAAAUGAAUCUGUGAAAACUGAGCCAAACUCUUAAAGAUACUAUGUCACAGCACUUUAAAUAUACAAAUGUAUAAUUUACCUAUUUGUAAACAAAAUUCACUCAAUAGUUUUGACUAUAAUAUUUCUCUAGCUGAAUCAAGAAAGCAGUCUCUUAAGGAUUUUCAGAAGUCAAGUUUCUUUCAUAACUUUAAUAUGUUGGAUGUGUAUAAUCUUAAUAUCCACCAAAUCAAACAGCAGCAUUUAUGCUUUCAUAGAUUUUCAUAUUCAAGCAUAAAUAUUUCUUAUGAAUGACUUCCAAUUUAACAAUUAAACUCCUUAGAAAAAUGUUACUGAUGUAUUUGGAUAGCACUUUAGAAACCUUUCAUUUCUUCACUCAUUUCACCAAAAACCCCCACUUUUAUUAUAUACCCAGAGCAGAAAUGCACCAAAUAAAAUCCACUUAAAGGAUCAAGAUAAUUAAAGUUUCUUAUCUCCCUAUUAUCAUUGCUAGUCCCAGUGUUUAUGAAGACAGCUCAAAUUCUUUUCACUAUAGAUUAAGACAGUAUGUCCAACUCUUCAUCAGGAAAUCAGAAAACCACCUAAUGAUAGUUCUCACUUCAAAUCAAAGUGACUUUGUUCUUCAAGCAUAAAGAAUACUGACAGAUUUUAAAGCUUGAAUGUGUUUCUUCAUAUUUUUCUCAAGCUAUACUAGAAUUAGUUUAGUUUUAGUCAACAUGAUCCUUUCCCUUAACAAAGAAAAAAAAAAGACACGUGUGGGGAAUGAAUUCUAGUUUUCCUACAUUAUAUUUACUUUCCAUUGUUUUUAUUUUAAAAACAUCACUACCAAUCAAUUUGUAACUUCCCUGCAACACUUAGGUUUGUGAGGUUUUAAAUGUAGCAGCCAAAGAUUCAGAAAAAUUAAAAAUGAGAAAUAUAC